GGCAAAACCCCAAAACUUGCACCCAGUUGGGUCCCAAGGAUCGAGUUUGGGAAUAGCUGCAUAAAAGGCUCUGCAUGGUCAAUCGGACUUCUGCAGUGACCGUACAGCAUUUACUGCGAUACGGCCUCUACACAACUGUUAUGAAGGAGGUUGUCAAGGUACUGCCAAGCAUCACCCAGAUGGGUGCUACACUUCAGUAGUGGACUAUCCAGCCUACCUACAGAGGAGGAGGAGGAGGAGACAACAGACGGGGUGCCUGAUGAAGAUCUCUGGGCUUGUCUAAGUAACAGACUGACACUGCUCCCUCUCUGUGCCAUCGAAGCUCCCUCCUCGUAAGCUACUGCCCAGCCUUUCUGAACAACACCUUAUCUGAAUCUGUGGAAGACCAUCGCCCAAGACCUGACAGAUCUCCACAUUUCUUUUGUUUGUUUUUACAGGGUCUUUGAGAUUCUCUUUAAUGAAAAGCGCAAAAUAAAAUACAUGUAUUACUAUUAGCGCACAGGGAGCAGCGCAACCAGCGGCGACGUCAUCCAAAAACAUGACAUUGUUUGGAUGAAUAUAAAAUGUUAAUAUCUUCGUUGUGAGUGAUAAAAAAUUGUUUUUG